AUUGAGGUAGGGUACUGGCAACAGUGCUCUGCUGAAAUAUUUUCACCCAUGUCUUUUGCGCACUUUUUGUUUCCUGGGCGAGUUUGCUCGCCACCAGGACCCCCAUAUGAACCUUUUUUGUUUUUGCACUCAGCGUCAGUACAAUAAUUUAAUCUAUUAAAACUUUCAACAACGGAUCUCUUGGUUCUGGCAUCGAUGAAGAACGCAGCGAAAUGCGAUACGUAGUGUGAAUUGCAGAAUUCAGUGAAUCAUCGAAUCUUUGAACGCACAUUGCGCCCUUUGGUAUUCCAAAGGGCAUGCCUGUUCGAGCGUCAUUUGUACCCUCAAGCUUUGCUUGGUGUUGGGCGUCUUAUUGUCUCUCCGUCUCGGGGAGACUCGCCUUAAAACAAUUGGCAGCCGGCCUACUGGUUUCGGAGCGCAGCACAAAUUUGCGCUUGCAAUCAGCCAAGGGCGGCAUCCAUGAAGCCUUUUUUCUCUCACAUUUUGACCUCGGAUCAGGUAGGGAUACCCGCUGAACUUAAGCAUAUCAAUAGCCGGGAGGAAAUAGAGUUUUAGCU
rnacentral:rRNA from 1 species